GCCCAGCCGUAAACAAUUAAAUUACACCUAAAAUCGCCAGGGAACUACGAGCAAAGCUUAAACCCAAAGGAUUUGACGGUGUCCCAUCCACCUAGAGGAGCCUGUCCUAUAAUCGAUAAUCCCCGUUAUACCUCACCAUUUCUUGCUUCCCAGUCUGUAUACCGCCGUCGAAAGCUCACCCUGUGAAAGAUUACAGUUAGCUAAAUGGCCCUUCCGCCAACACGUCAGGUCAAGGUGCAACUAACGAAAUGGGAAGAGAUGGGCUACAAUUUCUAAUAUAGAACAUACGGAAUAUCAGGUGAAACCCCUGACAUGAAGGAGGAUUUAGUAGUAAAAAGAAAAUAGAGUGUUCUUUUUAACCCGGCUCUGGGACGCGUACACACCGCCCGUCACCCCCCUCGAUAGCAUAUUAAUAAGUAUAUAACAAGCCAUCCGCGCCUUAGAGGGGGCAAGUCGUAACAUGGUAAGUGUACUGGAAAGUGCACUUGGUCUAUCAAGAAGUAGCUUAAAUAAAGCCCCCCGUUUACACCGGUAACAUGCCUGUUAAAAUCAGGCCGUCUUGAGCCCCAAAUCUAGCCCCACCUAACUAACCCUGCACCUAAAGAACAAACAAAACAUUUUUAAGUUGUAGUAGAGGCGAUCAAAAGAUCACUAAGAGCUUCAGACAAAGUACCGCAAGGGAAUGAUGAAAUAGUAAUGAAAUAAUCACAAAGCUUUUAACAGCAGAGAUACACCCUCG
rnacentral:rRNA from 1 species